UGGCGUUCCUUCGAAACUGAUGAUUCAGGUAAAUCCCCAUCCUUGCCAUAUACAGCAGCUAAGAAUGCGAUGCUUUGGAUGGUCUUACCAAGUCCCAUAUCAUCUCCAAGAACUCCUCCAUGAUUAUUCUGAUACAAGCUAUACAAAAAUUUCACUCCUUCUCGUUGAUGCUCCAAAAGCCUACAGUUUAUAGAUGCUGGAACCUG
rnacentral:misc_RNA from 1 species